AGCUUGGAAGAGCGUCGUGCUGGCAGCGCGAAGGUCACCGGUUCGAACCCGGUAUGCUCCA
rnacentral:tRNA from 1 species